UACGUAGGCAGCGAGCGUUAAUCGGAAUUACUGGGCGUAAAGCGUGCGCAGGCGGUGAUGUAAGACAGUUGUGAAAUCCCCGGGCUCAACCUGGGAACUGCAUCUGUGACUGCAUUGCUGGAGUGCGGCAGAGGGGGAUGGAAUUCCGCGUGUAGCAGUGAAAUGCGUAGAUAUGCGGAGGAACACCGAUGGCGAAGGCAAUCCCCUGGGCCUGCACUGACGCUCAUGCACGAAAGCGUGGGAGCAAACAGG
rnacentral:rRNA from 1 species